CCUACGGGAGGCUGCAGUGGGGAAUAUUGGACAAUGGGGGGAACCCUGAUCCAGCCAUGCCGCGUGUGUGAAGAAGGCCCUCGGGUUGUAAAGCACUUUCAGUGAGGAAGAACGCCUGGUGGUUAAUACCCAUCAGGAAAGACAUCACUCACAGAAGAAGCACCGGCUAACUCCGUGCCAGCAGCCGCGGUAAUACGGAGGGUGCGAGCGUUAAUCGGAAUUACUGGGCGUAAAGCGCGCGUAGGUGGCUUGAUAAGCCGGUUGUGAAAGCCCCGGGCUCAACCUGGGAACGGCAUCCGGAACUGUCAAGCUAGAGUGCAGGAGAGGAAGGUAGAAUUCCCGGUGUGGCGGUGAAAUGCGUAGAGAACGGGAGGAAUACCAGUGGCGAAGGCGGCCUUCUGGACUGACACUGACACUGAGGUGCGAAAGCGUGGGUAGCAAACAGGAUUAGAUACCCUUGUAGUC
rnacentral:rRNA from 1 species